rnacentral:rRNA from 1 species
UACGGGGGGGGCAAGCGUUGUUCGGAAUUACUGGGCGUAAAGGGCUCGUAGGCGGCCAACUAAGUCAGACGUGAAAUCCCUAGGCUCAACCUAGGAACUGCGUCUGAUACUGGAUGGCUUGAAUCCGGGAGAGGGAUGCAGAAUUCCAGGUGUAGCGGUGAAAUGCGUAGAUAUCAGGAGGAACACCGGUGGCGAAGGCGGAUCUCUGGGCCAUUACUGACGCUGAGGAGCGAAAGCGUGGGGAGCGAACAGG